rnacentral:tRNA from 1 species
GCAGUGGUGGUUCAGUGGUAGAAUCCUGGCCUUCCAUGCCGGAGACCAGGGUUCGAUUCCCGGUUAAUACA